UGGUGAAAGUUUUUGCAAUUUACACUGCUUUCGAUGUAUUGCACUUUCUUUCGCCUUC
rnacentral:pre_miRNA from 1 species